GAUUAAAUGGCUGAAGUUUAGGCGAUAAAUUGUAAAUUUAUAUAUAAGAGCAAAUCUUUUUAAUCA
rnacentral:tRNA from 1 species